rnacentral:rRNA from 2 species
CCGUGAGGGAAAGGCGAAAAGAACCCCGGCGAGGGGAGUGAAAAAGAACCUGAAACCGUGUACGUACAAGCAGUGGGAGCCUCUUUAUGGGGUGACUGCGUACCUUUUGUAUAAUGGGUCAGCGACUUAUAUUCUGUAGCAAGGUUAACCGUAUAGGGGAGCCGAAGGGAAACCGAGUCUUAACUGGGCGUUAAGUUGCAGGGUAUAGACCCGAAACCCGGUGAUCUAGCCAUGGGCAGGUUGAAGGUUGGGUAACACUAACUGGAGGACCGAACCGACUAAUGUUGAAAAAUUAGCGGAUGACUUGUGGCUGGGGGUGAAAGGCCAAUCAAACCGGGAGAUAGCUGGUUCUCCCCGAAAGCUAUUUAGGUAGCGCCUCGUGAACUCAUCUUCGGGGGUAGAGCA